GCAUAUCAAUAAGCGGAGGAAAAGAAACCAACCGGGAUUGCCUCAGUAACGGCGAGUGAAGCGGCAAGAGCUCAAAUUUGAAAGCUGGCUCCUUCGGGGUCCGCAUUGUAAUUUGCAGAGGAUGCUUCGGGUGCAGCCCCCGUCUAAGUGCCCUGGAACGGGCCGUCAUAGAGGGUGAGAAUCCCGUAUGGGGCGGGGUGUCUGCGUCCGUGUGAAGCUCCUUCGACGAGUCGAGUUGUUUGGGAAUGCAGCUCUAAAUGGGUGGUAAAUUUCAUCUAAAGCUAAAUACUGGCCGGAGACCGAUAGCGCACAAGUAGAGUGAUCGAAAGAUGAAAAGCACUUUGAAAAGAGAGUUAAACAGCACGUGAAAUUGUUGAAAGGGAAGCGCUUGCAACCAGACUCGCUCGCGGGGUUCAGCCGGGCUUCGGCCCGGUGUACUUCCCCGCGGGCGGGCCAGCGUCGGUUUGGGCGGCCGGUCAAAGGCCUCCGGAAUGUAGCGCCCUUCGGGGCGCCUUAUAGCCGGGGGUGCAAUGCGGCCAGCCUGGACCGAGGAACGCGCUUCGGCACGGACGCUGGCAUAAUGGUUGUAAACGACCCGUCUUGAAACACGGACCAAGGAGUCUAACAUCUACGCGAGUGUUCGGGUGUCAAACCCGUACGCGCAGUGAAAGCGAACGGAGGUGGGAGCCCCCUCGCGGGGCGCACCAUCGACCGAUCCUGAUGUCUUCGGAUGGAUUUGAGUACGAGCGUAGCUGUGGGGACCCGAAAGAUGGUGAACUAUGCCUGAAUAGGGCGAAGCCAGAGGAAACUCUGGUGGAGGCUCGCAGCGGUUCUGACGUGCAAAUCGAUCGUCAAAUUUGGGUAUAGGGGCGAAAGACUAAUCGAACCAUCUGGUAGCUGGUUCCUGCCGAAGUU
rnacentral:rRNA from 1 species